GCCGGCGUAGCUCAACUGGCAGAGCAACGCUCUUGUAAAGCGUAGGUUGUCGGUUCGAGUCCGACCGUCGGCU
rnacentral:tRNA from 1 species